UACAGAGGGGGCAAGCGUUGUUCGGAAUUACUGGGCGUAAAGGGCGCGUAGGCGGCCUUCUAAGUCGAACGUGAAAUCCCUGGGCUCAACCCAGGAACUGCGUCCGAUACUGGAAGCUUGAAUCCGGGAGAGGGAUGCGGAAUUCCAGGUGUAGCGGUGAAAUGCGUAGAUAUCUGGAGGAACACCGGUGGCGAAGGCGGCAUCCUGGACCGGUAUUGACGCUGAGGCGCGAAAGCCAGGGGAGCAAAGCGGG
rnacentral:rRNA from 1 species